UGAUUCACUGAAUCAAGAUUGCAUGGAUAUGGUCAGCAAAUUGCAUAAACAUCAUGCUUGCAGCAAAAGAAAUUGUGAGUGGGUAGGGUUCCAUCGUGAUCACUGAAAUCUAGCCUGACCUAACCUCAUGAUCAAUUCAAGAUUUUUGGCCUGUGCCCAUGAUAAGAUUUCAUGAAAGAUAUGCACCACUCAACUUUGUCUUUUUUGUUCCUUAUCAAAUUUACAAGAAGAAAGUGCACUUUUAUAUUCACUCAGGAAUGUAAUCCUAUUCAGUUUUACAGGCAAAUGACUCUGUUGCAGACGGUGGCAAUGACAGUGACCCCAAAGUCCAAAGAUAUGAUGCUCCUACGUUUGCCAGGAUUUAAUGACUGAAAUUUGUAACUCGAUGAUAAAAUAGUUACCUAGCACAAGUGAUCCUGCCACCCAGCCUCCGGUCUUGCCCUUGGCUGCAGGCCUGCCUCUGAAGUCCACUGAUCCAUCAAGUGUGUACUCAUACUGAUCAGCUUUGUAUCCACUUCUCGCCGUGCUAAAGGAAGAGCUUUUAGUCACCAUGUUGCCGUCUUCUACUCUCUCUUUCUCCUGCAGUGCCCAAUUCAACUUAAGUUGGCCAUUGUUCGAAAUGGGGGAUGCCAACAGAAACUCGGGGGAAGAAUUCAGGAGAGAGAUUUGAAUGAACAAAUGGUGCUGAGAGAGGCCGACGAGGUUUGAAUUUAUAGAAGUGAGGGAAAUGCAUCAAUGGCUGCGAUUAGAACUUGCAAAAAGGGUGGUGAUGUAAUACUACUUCCCCACAUGGCAGAAUCAAAGAAAUGAAAAAGUUGAAAUUGACAAGCAAAGGAGUUGGAAGGGAACACAAGGUUGUAGUUGAAUUUCGACUCAUUCAUUUGUCAUGUAGAAGACAUACUUCAAAGGGAAACUUAAAUACUGAUUUUGGUUUAAAUAGAAAAGUAGGCUUUUAUUGUUCGAGAAAGAGGCAGAGGUUUUAGCACCUUUUGUUAUCUUGCUAUUAUGCAAAUUGAUCUAUACUCUAUCCUAAUUAUUGUUAUCAGUGUAUAGAAACAGGACAGUAAGUUCCUUGAGAACAACUUUUUCUUCAAUGCUUGCAUACAAAUCAGUUAUUCUUAGAGCUAUAAUAUUCAAGAACUUGUAGCAUGCUUGGAAUUAGUUGUAAAGUCAAGUUGCCUAUUUUGCCAAGAAAUAUGGCUAUGAGGUGUGGAACUAUGUCAAACAAUGC